GAACACAGUGCCAUCUCAGGGGAAUUCUGCUGGUUGAGUUCUACUGAGGCUUUGAGAUGAGUUGCAAAUCCUGAAAAUGUUCUCCUUGCCCAGGAAUUGCUUCGGUGUUACUUCACAUCAUCCAUUAAAAAUUUGAUGCCUGGAACAAGUCCCGAGUGCUGUGUGAUUUCCUUGGUCGUGUUCCUUGGAAUGGCUUCCCCCCCAUUUUGUGAAGCUGGCCCCAGAAAGGUCAUAGAUGGGAGUUGGAGUUAGAAGAUUCAGACAUCAAGUGAAACAGUGAAAGAUGAUAAGAAAACACUUGAUUCUCACAAGGCCUGAAAUUGGAAACUAUUUAAAACCUAACAAACCCUGGAGUUUAUCCCUGUUCUUUGAAUAGCAACAGAAGUAUGGCUGUCAUGGUUUGACACAUCAGUGAAGAACAGCCUCUGCUCUGCAGCAGGUACUCAAGUGGAACUUUUGCAAGUGGGCUCUCAUCAGGAGUGAAACACUGGCUGCUGACUCUGCUGCUUUUGCUCACAGACUGCUGCCUUUAUGAACCAGGCAUCUCUUCAGGGACUACUUUAAAUCCCAGAAUGUUCAAGAGCCAUCACUGUACAAACAGAAGCUCCAACUGAACGAAACCAGAAGUGGAUAUGGCAAAUUCUCUGGUCCAAGUGGUGAUAUUAAUCUGGAAGAUACAGGAGUUGCUCAUUUUAAUGCUGUCCAGCAGACUAUUCCAUGCUUUCUCAGCUGUUUGGAUCUGCAGUUCAGGAUUGGACCAAGAAAAAUGGUGAUGGGAUCAAAUUAUUUCUAUUCUUAAAUGAGGACAAUUCCAUUUUUAAACAUACACAUGUGCUUCCAAUGCUUUCAGUAGUCAAGGAUGAAAUUUUGAACAGACAUGAAUUCCUCAGUCUUUGUUUCUUUUUCCCUGAAGGAUGGAAUUUGGACUUUGCCCACCAGUGCAGUCCUUGCUAUGGGCAGAUGUUUCUUCUGUUCUUCUUACAGCAGUAGGAGUGGUUGGACACUGAACCUCAAAGAAGAGGGAGCUAACAUCCCUUACCUGGAUAAGUCCCACAGGUAAGCACCUUGGAGAAGUUCUUCAACCAAAACCAGUUCCUGUAAGGCUUUCCAGCCCUUGACAGGAAAUAAGCUGAUUCCUGCAGGCUGCAACAUGAAGACUUCCAGACUGAAGUGAGCAUCCUGCUAUAGGAAG